rnacentral:misc_RNA from 1 species
GAAAUGCGAUAAGUAAUGUGAAUUGCAGAAUUCAGUGAAUCAUCGAAUCUUUGAACGCACAUUGCGCCCGCCAGUAUUCUGGCGGGCAUGCCUGUUCGAGCGUCAUUUCAACCAUCAAGCCCCCGGGCUUGUGUUGGGGACCUGCGGCUGCCGCAGGCCCCGAAAACCAGUGGCGGGCUCGCUGUCACACCGGGCGUAGUAGAUUUUUCGUCUCGCCCAGGGCGUGCUGCGGGUUCCGGCCGUUAAAAAGCCUCUCUUUUAACCCAAGGUUGACCUCGGAUCAGGUAGGAAGACCCGCUGAACUUACGC